CUGUACACACCGCCCGUCGCUACUACCGAUUUGAAUGGCUCAGUGAGGCGUUCGGACUGGCCCAGGGGAGGUGGGCAAUCACCACCCAGGGCCCGGAAAGUUCUCCAAACUCGGUCAUUUAGAGGAAGUAAAAGUCGUAACAAGGUCUCCGUUGGUGAACCAGCGGAGGGAUCAUUG
rnacentral:rRNA from 1 species